CAAUAGCGUAUAUUAAAGUUGUUGCAGUUAAAAGCUCGUAGUUGGACUUCUGAUGUGAAAGAUCGGUCCACCGCAAGGUGAGCACUGAUUCUUCGCGUCUUCCUCUCGUAGUUGUUUCGCGCACUUAGUUGGGUGCGAGAUGAAUAUGGGACCUUUACUUUGAAAAAUUAGAGUGUUCAAAGCAGGCAAUCGCUUGAAUACAUUAGCAUGGAAUAAUAGAAUAGGACUUUGGUUCUAUUUUGUUGGUUUCUAGGACCGAGGUAAUGAUUAAUAGGGACAGUUGGGGGCAUUAGUAUUCUGAAGCGAGAGGUGAAAUUCUUGGACCUUCGGAAGACUAACAACUAGCGAAAGACAUUUGCCAAGGAAUGUUCUCUUUAAUUCAAGAACGAAAGUUAAGGGGAGUCGAAG
rnacentral:rRNA from 1 species